rnacentral:misc_RNA from 1 species
GAUGAAGAACGUAGCGAAAUGCGAUACGUAAUGUGAAUUGCAGAAUUCAGUGAAUCAUCGAAUCUUUGAACGCACAUUGCGCCCGCCAGUAUUCUGGCGGGCAUGCCUGUUCGAGCGUCAUUUCAACCAUCAAGCCCCAGGCUUGUGUUGGGGACCUGCGGCUGCCGCAGGCCCUGAAAACCAGUGGCGGGCUCGCUGUCACACCGGGCGUAGUAGAUUUUAUCUCGCUCAGGGCGUGCUGCGGGUCCCGGCCGUUAAAAGCCUUUUUUUACCCAAGGUUGACCUCGGAUCAGGUAGGAAGACCCGCUGAACUUAAGCAUAUCAAUAAGCGGAGGA